UGUACUGAUACUAAUAAGCCUCUCUCUUUUUCUUGCAUUUUCUAGCAUACCCUUGAAGCGUUCCAGAAGGAUUUUGAGGUCCUUUCCUAAAUCAAAGGUGGAAUAUUUGGGGAUUUGGAAAAUUGAG
ensembl:misc_RNA predicted gene, 27957